rnacentral:rRNA from 1 species
GAUGCAGUGUACCCGCGGCAAGACGGAAAGACCCCGUGAACCUUUACUAUAGCUUGACACUGAACAUUGAGCCUUGAUGUGUAGGAUAGGUGGGAGGCUUUGAAGUGUGGACGCCAGUCUGCAUGGAGCCGACCUUGAAAUACCACCCUUUAAUGUUUGAUGUUCUAACGUGGACCCGUUACCCGGGUUGCGGACAGUGUCUGGUGGGUAGUUUGACUGGGGCGGUCUCCUCCUAAAGAGUAACGGAGGAGCACGAAGGUUGGCUAAUCCUGGUCGGACAUCAGGAGGUUAGUGCAAUGGCAUAAGCCAGCUUGACUGCGAGCGUGACGGCGCGAGCAGGUGCGAAAGCAGGUCAUAGUGAUCCGGUGGUUCUGAAUGGAAGGGCCAUCGCUCAACGGAUAAAAGGUACUCCGGGGAUAACAGGCUGAUACCGCCCAAGAGUUCAUAUCGACGGCGGUGUUUGGCACCUCGAUGUCGGCUCAUCACAUCCUGGGGCUGAAGUAGGUCCCAAGGGUAUGGCUGUUCGCCAUUUAAAGUGGUACGCGAGCUGGGUUUAGAACGUCGUGAGACAGUUCGGUCCCUAUCUGCCGUGGGCGCUGGAGAACUGAGGGGGGCUGCUCCUAGUACGAGAGGACCGGAGUGGACGCAUCACUGGUGUUCGGGUUGUCAUGCCAAUGGCACUGCCCGGUAGCUAAAUGCGGAAGAGAUAAGUGCUGAAAGCAUCUAAGCACGAAACUUGCCCCGA